CGCCGUCGCGGUUCUCUUUGUGCGGUGAGCCGGUGGGUGUGUGUCCCGCGGCUCUGCCAUGUGCCUGCCGGCCGCUGGGGCCCCUUCCCCUAAACGCGAGGGGAAGAUGGCGGCCUCCCCAGCUCCCUGCGCCGUCUUCGCUCAUUUGCCGCUGUGCAGGUGCCUGACCCACGCGCGCGGAUCCGUCGCACCACGAGGGUGAGUGGACUGUGCAGACGAGUGGCCGGCGGUCGCCCUGGGGGAGCGUGAAGGUGUUUAAGAAGACCACCAGUGUGGGAUACUUGAAUAAAGCAUGAGCGCCAUGGACAGAGUCCAUUCACAGAGAUCUGGCGCUAAGCUGAUGACUAAAGCCUCAGGUUUGGAAUAGACCGUUUCGGAGAAGUGCUGCUGAUGUGUCUGUCUUGCCUAAGGUUCCUGUCUAGGUACUGUGACGAAGUGAACAGCCAUGCCCCUAUUGUAACUCCUGUGGAUUUUGCUGACACAAAGAAUAUCCUCUAUUUGAUGUGGGGCAGACCCUUGGAACUUGCAUCUUUCCUGCAUUUUGUGAGCAGCUGUCAGAUUUGGGCACUUAAAGAUCAAGUAGACAGUUUUCACUUAUCUUAAGUACUUUGUUGUAUCUAAAGGAUUUCAAUAAAAUAUUUUAAGGUGAAAAUUUGGUCUGGCUGAAAGGGUACAAAAAGGGGUAGGGGGAGGUGAAGGGUUAACCAACGAUGAAUAAGCAUCGCAUUUGACAUAGGUGUACUUUAUGGCUGUGGACAAAAAUGUAAAAUUAGAUUGUUGCACAUUGAUAUGAAUGUUAGAGAUUUCCAAAUUUAUAUAAUAUGCAAUGUGCUAGAUGUUACUGAAAUAGUCAUCACUGAUUUGGAUAGAUCCAACCCUUAUUCUGACCUGUGACCAUUUAACAAUAGAAUGUGUUUACUUUUGAUCAUUUUCCUUUGUCUCCUGAAUUACUCAAUCCUCUGUCUUCAAAGGGCUGGAGAGACAUUAAAACUUGAAAUGUAAUUCAAGGGAUGUCAAAUCCUUGGCUGUGGUUUAACCUUAGGUCUCCUCACUCACAGUAGGGUCCUCCUAAUUAGUCUUAUGGCCCUAAUGGUAGGGCCUUGUCUGUUAAGACAUUCAACAACUGCGCAUAAAACUGUUUUACAUGGUUUUUAACCUGUCCCCAAACCUGUUUCUCCUUCAGCAUGAUACAAUUUCACUCUAUACCCAUAGGUAGAAACUAUCUUCAGGUUCAGUGGGGAAGUAGCUACGGGAGUUGUAAUGAGAUAGGAAGCUCCAUGAAAAUGUUGCUGUUUCACAGGCUAAGUUGGUUAAACCAAGGGUCAAAACAAUUGCCUUAUAUUUCUGAUAGUUUUUAGUUUAUCCCCAGCUUGUACAUACCAGAGCUAUUUCUUUAUAGUUUAUCAAUCCAUUGGUUAUUGCAAAAAAAUACAGACCCAGAGGCCAAAGGAAUUCAAACCAGGGCUAAGGGUAUACACAGCACAUAACCCUGAAAAUCCUGUACUACCAGGUUGCAGAUAAUUGGCGCUCACAAUUAUUAGCAACAAUAAAUUGGAUGAGCAAAUUUCACUUGGGCCAAGUAUAUUUCUUGCGUUCAUAGCCAGUAAGGUUUAUAUUUCCUUUGUUCUCAAACCCAAACUCUGACAAUUCAGCCUUUCAUGUCCAGAGAAGUCACUUGUAUUUGCUCUUCUCAUCAUCUUUCACUCACCCAGUGUCUGGAGAGUCUUCUCAGUCUUGACCAGAGCUUCUCCUGUGCAUGGAGAAGGCAGCCCCAUCUAUACUUCUGAUUCCCAGCAGGUGGGGCAGUGGAUAGGCUGGCCUUUGUGGUUUACCGGUGACCAGAGUCACUGCUGUGGUGGUUUGGAAGGUGAUAGAGAGGGGAAUGAGUUUUAUGCUUAAUGAGUCUAGUUAACAAUUUUACAAGACGAAAAAGUUGAUUGUUGUGUAAUAUUAUAACACUGUUGAAUCUUUAAAAAAAAUUAAGGCAGUAAAUUUUGUGGAUUUCACAAUAAAAUUUUGAGAAAAACAUGUAUGUUCCUUUGUGUCAUUUUUCUCCAAAGAUACUUCCUAACAGUGUACCUUUAUGAUGCUGUAAGGCUGUACUGUAAAUUACCCAGUGUCUGAUGGGAGCAUUUAGGAUCAUGUCAUCCGGUCAUUGCUGGUUCCCCUUUAUAUGCAUCCAUUUGAAGAAGCAAACACUUCAAGGUAGAAGAUCAGAGUUGAGGGCUUUGGACGUUCACAGCAUGAUAUACUAUGUGUUUUGUAAGAUUUUAUAUUGAUACCACUCCAGGUGGUCGUACUUCCCAGUCGAAUCUACUGAAAUAUGCUGCUGACGGGAGCAGUGGGUAAGACAGGAGAGGUCUGCUGUGCCAUGUAGGUCAGUCCCUGGCCAGGGUGGAAGUCAUGGAGGAGAGGCUGAUGAUAGCUUGAUAGGGCUGACGUGAAGUCCUGUGCCACCAGGGAGGCCUUGUGUACCAAACAGGUAUACUAGGUAACUUGAUGUUUUUUAUCAAGCAGAGUUCAUGUUUCAAUGCAUUGUCAUUUUUGUGUGUUAUUGGAUAUGUGCACAAUAUUCCUGUAACUUAAACAUAAAACUGCAAUGGUGUUAGGCUAAGUCCCUACCACUUAGCAAAAAUAUUUUCCAACCUGAUUGUUUAAUGACCUUUGUUAAGAUUUGUUUCUCAGAAACCUCACUUCGUUUGUUAGUAUAUGCUAGUUUUUAAUAGUCUGCCCUAAGAACGUAACAUUUUGCAUAAAUGACAACAUGUCCUCUUUCCUUAAGCAUGAGUUAAGUAGUUCAUGGCAUGAAAUACAUCAUUCUUUUUGAAAAGAUCCUCUUAUCAGUGGGCACUUAGAUUCUUGUUGCCAUGUAAACAAAGCUGCAAUAAACAAAGUAGAGCAUAAAUUUUUUUUUUUUUUGAGUUGAUGGUUUCAUGUUCUUUGGAUAGAUGCCCAAGAGAGGUUGCUGGGUCAUAGAGCAUUUCCAUUUGUAGUUUUUCAUGAUAAUUCCAGAUCGCCUUGGAAAAUGGUUGCACCAAUUUUCAUUCUCACCUCCGGUGUCCAUUCUCACCUACUGUGUCAUAUGGUCUUGUUUCUCUGCAUCCUCUCCAGUACUUGUUGGGGGUCUUUUUAAUAUGUGCCAUUCUCACAGGAGUGAGAUACCUUAUUGUGAACUCAUUUCUUUAAAAUUGGUGCUUUCAUAGGCAAAAAGUGGCAUGAGUGCUGUAUUCUGCAUCUGUUCUAAACUUCCAGGUUGGUCCUGCCACUUAGCAAAAAAUUUUUUCGACCUCUGUUUAAUGACCUUUGUUAGAUUUGUUUCUCCUUCAAAGUGUCCUGUUUUGGUACUCCCAGAGGCUAGCACUGCCUGCUUCCUUCCCUGUUCUCUGGUCGGGGCCCUCUCUGCACUUUAGUCAUUGGCCCAAAACUUUAGGAUAAGUCCCAUUGAAAUGAAUUUGUUCUCUAAAUGUGGUGGAUUAAAAUAGAUAAUAGGUCUCAUUAAGAUAAUUAAAAUC